CCACAAAUUGGUUGGAGGUUGCAAAUUUGGAGGAACGAAGUGUGACAAAGGCUAAUAAAAAAACUACAAACAAAUUUAUGGAGACAGCCUGAACGAUAGACAAGAAUUGCUCGUGUUGUCUUCAUCAAUUUCCUUCAAUUCUCCGGGGAAAGUUGCAUCUAAAGAAGAAUAUAUUUCUUCGGUCAAAGAUGGGUAGUAGCCAGAGCAACACUGCGGAAAUGGUUGGAUAUCCAUCGACUCAUGUAGAGUUUGAGGAUCGCUGGUUCGCGAAAGGGAGCUCAAGGUUUGUGUACCGGGGUGUUGCUCGCGGUGAUCGCCGCGUCGACGGGAAGCCUUGUGUAGUAAAAGUCUACCAAAAUCCUUGGGAUGUUUACAACGAAACAUAUGCUUGGGAAUCAGACGACAUGGCCUAUCGCAAAGCUCAAGAGAUGGCUGACCUGUUUAAUAAAGAAUGCGAGACAAGUAAGCCCAUCAAAUUUAUGAAACCUGAAUUUGUCAAGGUUGAUACUCUUGCCGCUUUCAAUUACCUUGGACUCAUCCCGUCUGAGAGAAAGGUCCAAGGCAAACACAUGUCAAAGACUAUCCCCAAGUGGGCGAAAGUCGCUGUCGAGUGGUAUCUGGAGGGAGACUUUGUCAAAUUCUCAAGCAACACGGGAUAUGUACAUGAUACCCCAGCUGCCUCUCCAGGAGCGUUCAGUCAUUUUACCUACCAUAGAUCAAAUGGUGAGGUUUUGGUAUGUGAUCUUCAAGGGUUGCGUAGUAACUCGGAUUACAGAUUUACUGACCCGGCUAUUCUCAGCGGAAAAUCAACAGAACCUGUUUACGGGCUCAGUGAUAAUGGAAAAUGUGGCAUAGCGAAGUUUUUUGAGAGUCACAAAUGCAACGAAUUGUGCAAGACGUUUGACAAGCCAGACGUUAUUUUUAACCUUACAGAAGGUAGAAAUGUAGAAUUCAAAGCAGUACUUAAGGAUAUACCAGCUAUAAUGCCCACCUUUCAGGUAGUGGGGCCUCAGGGAUCGAAAGUGAAACAAAUGCAAAAGGAUAUAACCAUGACACCGAUCCAAGUCAAAUCAAAUGAGUAAGUCCACAUACAGCUAUAUGUUUUCAUGUGAUUUUGUUUGAAAAGAUUCUGACGUCUCCUGAGAUGUAUAUCUUGAACGUGAUAAAAGGUGCUAUUGCAAGUUAUUGCUAUUUUCUGAACAACAAACGUAUAAUUGAUGUCGGCGUAUCAUCAAUCAUCUUAAAUUUCCUAUUUCACACAGGAAGUUCAAGAUGAGUACAUAAAAAUGAUUCUGCAAACUAUGCAGCACGUGUUGGUCUUCAAACAGCGACCAUUUGCUUAUAUCUUUCCACACAUUAUAAUGCUGCUUUUUGCAAGUUAAUGUCUUCAGUAUUCCUAAGACUUUUGACGCUUAAUUGCUUUCCCCCCUAGUAUCGCUCCGGCCAUUUGUUUAAAGGAAGCUAAUCAAUUUCUAUUUUAUUUCUUUUAAAAUGCGGUGAGUUGUUUCAUUAACAAGGUGCAACAAUUUUCAAGAUGUAAGGCGCAACAAAUUAACACGAUAAAAAUUUUCCAAAAUUUAAAUUUAUGUUAGUAGAUUUUGUAAUGUUUGUUUGAUUUUCCAAUGUGCCCGAAGAAGUAUCUACUUUACCAAUCACAUAUUCUCUUCUGGCGACUGUACAUUCCACCGUUUCAGACCCAAAGCUGAGGUCAUACCAAGGUGUCACAUGAUGACAAACUACUUUUAAACAGUGUAAAUAGGGACAAGGACAGCGACCUUGGAUAUUGGCAAUUAUCAAUGGUUAUGAAAAACUUUCGGGUUUAUCAUUGCCCAUGUAGCAAUUGAAAUAAUUCUACAGAGAGGAUAUCACAAUAUUACAGACUGAAAUGCAGUUUAUUGAUGUUUCGUCAUAAAUGGAAAAUAAGUCACAGAUUCAUAAAUUAGUUUGACUUUGAAAAUGUCUUAUUUUUUCAAAAACAGCAUUUCCUUUUGCUGUUCAUCACAAAGAUAACCGAACUUUCUUUGUAAAGUAUAAUGACAAUAAGGUGUAGUGAAUUAAAACAAGAAAAUGCGUUUAAUUCUGACCUGGUUCAAAGGAGUCUGGUAAUAGUUUUGAUUCUGACCUGGUUCAAAUGAGUCUGGUAACAAUUUUGAUUCUGAACUGGUUCAAAUGAGUCUGGUAACAAUUUUGAUUCUGAACUGGUUCAAAUGAGUCUGGUAACAAUUUUGAUUCUGACCUGGUUCAAAUGAGUCUGGUAACAAUUUUGAUUCUGACCUGGUUCAAAUGAGUCUGGUAACAAUUUUGAUUCUGAACUGGUUCAAAUGAGUCUGGUAAUAAUUUGGUUAGACCUACACCACACUGAAAAAAUACAGAAUUGUCCAAAAGGUUCCUCUGAACAAAAUGCCAAGUCAUGUUGCAUCAGCAUUGCUGAGAUAAGUUUGAUCAGUUUCCUUAAUAAGUGUUAAGUACUAACGUUUGUAGUUUUAGUUUAUUUUAUUUCUUGCAGAGUUUUCUCUCGUGCUGCUCUAGUCCUAUUUAAUAUGCUGUCGGUCUUAAAUAUUGCCAGAAUAGUGUCUAAUAUGCGAGCUUUGUAAAGUCACUACACCCGCGGGUAUAAUGUAUGUACAUUCAAAGUGAAGUACAUGUAUGCACAUUUAGUUUGCUUCGUCAUGAAAAGUGAACAGUUGCAAAUUUUUACAAUUUAUGACGAGAUAAAGACAAAACCGUCAAAAGCAAUCUAAAUACAAACUAGUUGCUCUGUGUCUCUGCAGCAGGUGUCUCUUCUUUGUAUUCUCGAAAAGCAUAUUUCAUAUCCCAUACUUUUGAUAAUGUUCAAAUGGGUCGAUCUCCGAUAAUCACUGGCUAACAAAACAAACUGUGUAGGGUUCAGUUGGUUAUCCGGCAUACCGGAAGGUUUCUAUAUGCGGACUGUGAAGAUAUUGAGCAUGCGGGAACUUGUUUCUAAGUGAAUGUUUAGAUUAAGUUUGAUGUUCUUAAACUCACAAUGUUUUUGACUCAGUACGAUAACGAACAUUGUUCUGCAUAUUCGUGAAAUGAAUUUAAUUAUAUGGAAAAACGUAUAUUUUUGCCUUUCUCCUGCAAAUGAUUUAGGCCUAAUACUUAGAAAUUAAAGCAAAUUGUGUGUUUUUACAGCUUUCUUGUUUUUAUUUGUAACAGCGAAUACAUAUAAGAUUUUAUACUAUCCAGUACUUGUGUGUUAGGUGUAAUUUUACUGCAAUUGUCUGAUGCAUGUUCAAGAUUGUCAUUACUUUGUUGUUUAUCAUUUUUAAGUGUACAAGUGUAUUUACUAUGCAGUUGUUCAUGUUUUUGUAAGGAGACACGUGUGUCUUUCCUCAACAGAAUUGUUCAGAUUUUGGUUUAGUUUUGUGUUGGUUGUCAUGGCGUACAGCCUCAGGGUCAACCCGCCUUUUCGGUACCUUGAGUGGUGGCACUGUGUCAACAAAGACGGCAAUGCGCCAUAUAACCCCUGGGCACUACUCGACUGUAAACCCCCGAGCAGGUGAUUCAAGUAGCAAGCUCAAGGUUACUCACGCUUGAACGGGUCCAAAAGCUCGCAAAAAAUAGUUCAAUUCGGUGAGAGUAAAACUGCUGCCACUUACAAGAAUUACAGUUUAUCACCCAUGCUGCCAACAUCCCACAUUGCGGUUUCCGAGCAAGGAGACCAUUUGAGGGCGACCAGUUUUUCAAUGUUUUUUAUGUCCAGAAAAAAAAAUAGAUGCUGUGUCGGCUAAGAUUAUUCUUGAGAGAUUUUGAUUUGAAAAUGUCCUAGUUGUAUAUGUAAUUAUAGUAGCAAAGCCCCAAAUUUCUUGUAUAAAUUCUCUAAUUGAUCUUGACCACCAUAAAGCUUAAAAUGAACGUACACUUGCGGACUGGACGAUUUGUGGCUAGAACGCAGAGAAACGAAUAAACUAUUUACAGUGAUUGCAACUGUA
rnacentral:lncRNA from 1 species